UUCGGUGGCCAUAGCGGUGGGGAUCACCCGUUCCCAUUCCGAACACGGAAGUUAAGCCCACCUGCGCCGAUGGUACUUGGACCGCAGGGUCCCGGGAGAGUAGGUCGCCGCCGAUU
rnacentral:rRNA from 1 species